ensembl:ncRNA ZK131.14 ncRNA
CUGGGGCUCCGGCUCCGACGCGUUGAGCGUAGUUUCCUUUGCGAAGAAUACGGUGAAGACGACCAACUGGGAAUUGGAGUCCGGCUCUUGAUGAGCGGGACUUGGCCUUUCCUCCGGUCUUGGCUUUGCCUCCCUUUCCACGUCCAGACA